GACGAACGCUGGCGGCGUGCUUAACACAUGCAAGUCGAACGGAAAGGCCCUGCUUUUGUGGGGUGCUCGAGUGGCGAACGGGUGAGUAACACGUGAGUAACCUGCCCUUGACUUUGGGAUAACUUCAGGAAACUGGGGCUAUUACCGGAUAGGAGCUCCUGCUGCAUGGUGGUGGUUGGAAAGUUUCGGCGGUUGGGGAUGGACUCGCGGCUUAUCAGCUUGUUGGUGGGGUAGUGGCUUACCAAGGCUUUGACGGGUAGCCGGCCUGAGAGGGUGACCGGCCACAUUGGGACUGAGAUACGGCCCAGACUCCUACGGGAGGCAGCAGUGGGGAGUAUUGCACAAUGGGCGGAAGCCUGAUGCAGCAACGCCGCGUGCGGGAUGACGGCCUUCGGGUUGUAAUCCGCUUUCGCCUGUGACGAAGCGUGAGUGACGGUAAUGGGUAAAGAAGCACCGGCUAACUACGUG
rnacentral:rRNA from 1 species